rfam:Triticum aestivum genome assembly, contig: Triticum_aestivum_CS42_TGACv1_scaffold_577358_7BL
GAAAUACUCCCUCCGUCCGGAAAUACCUGUCGGGAAAAUGGAUGUAUUUAGAUGUAUUUUAAUUCUAAAUAUAUCCAUUUUCAUUCAUUUUCGUGACAAGUAAUUCCGGACGGAGGAAGUAAUAA